rnacentral:lncRNA from 1 species
GAAAGAAGAAAAUGUUUUUUACUCCUACUGUUUGUGAAGUUUAAGAAUACUAAACUGGCAAUAUGCAGAAAGGGGUACGUUCUCCUUAGUAACAAAAAAUACUACUAAGGUUUCUGAAACUUCGAAAACAAUUCUUAAAAUUCACUUUCAAACUGUUCCAUUUUAGUGGAAGGCUAAAAUUAUAAAGUCAUUAAGGCAAGUGUUUCUGUGAUUCUCAGAGUCAAACCUGUGGUUAAUAAAGCCCACAUUUUUUAAUCAACCUUGAUGCUACCAUCAGACCAAGAAAAGACAGUGGUAAAAGAAAUGACUGCUGCCUCAAGAUCUGAGGGCUCCACCUUGGAACUGCCCUCAAAACCAGACUGGACAACUAGGAGAUGGGAGCAGUAACCAAUCACAUCUCUGAGGCCUCAAGCAAGGCACUGUAUAUAAACUGUUGAACAAAAAUGAUCGCUCCCUUCAGGAGAUACGGGUCACACAUCAACAUUUAAGUACAAAGGGUGACAAAUGGUGUACCAUAAUUGGAACAUAUGUUCCCUGAACUGACAGUACUCUGUCUCUACAGCACAGUCCCUAUGAAUUAAGAUACUUACAGUGAUGAGGAAUGGUAUGCUGGAAACAGUUUUGCUAUUUUCUUCAAAUUAGCUGAAGUCAUGCUAUGUCUCAAUAAAUUAUUUCUUUCAUCACAUA